rnacentral:rRNA from 1 species
UGAGUAACACGUAUCCAACCUGCCGUCUACUCUUGGCCAGCCUUCUGAAAGGAAGAUUUAUCCAGGAUGGGAUCAUGAGUUCACAUGUCCGCAUGAUUAAAGGUAUUUUCCGGUAGACGAUGGGGAUGCGUUCCAUUAGAUAGUAGGCGGGGUAACGGCCCACCUAGUCAACGAUGGAUAGGGGUUCUGAGAGGAAGGUCCCCCACAUUGGAACUGAGACACGGUCCAA